GAUGAACGCUGGCGGCGUGCCUAAUACAUGCAAGUCGAGCGAACAGACGAGGAGCUUGCUCCUCUGACGUUGGCGGCGGACGGGUGAGUAACACGUGGAUAACCUACCUAUAAGACUGGGAUAACUUCGGGAAACCGGAGCUAAUACCGGAUAAUAUAUUGUACCGUAUGGUUCAAUAGUGAAAGACGGUUUUGCUGUCACUUAUAGAUGGUUCCGCGCCGCAUUAGCUAGUUGGUAAGGUAACGGCUUACCAAGGCAACGAUGCGUAGCCGACCUGAGAGGGUGAUCAGCCACACUGGAACUAAGACACGGUCCAGACUCCUACGGGAGGCAGCAGUAGGGAAUCUUCCGCAAUGGGCGAAAGCCUGACGGAGCAACGCCGCGUGAGUGAUGAAGGUCUUCGGAUCGUAAAACUCUGUUGUUAGGGAAGAACAAAUGUGUAAGUAUCUAUGCACGUGUUGACGGUACCUAAAGAGAAAGCAACGGCUAACUACGUG
rnacentral:rRNA from 1 species